rnacentral:lncRNA from 1 species
UCCCGGACCCCCAACCCCUGCCCGCCCAACCCCCACUCCGGUCCUCAGAUUCCCCAGAUGCAGGCGUCAGUCACCGACCCAGACAGGCCUCGCUCGCCCAGAGGCAGACGCUCUCUGAAGAGACCACUCAGAAAGACCCGCCCGGCAUCUCUGGCACUCGGUCUCGUCCGCAGAGACCCUCGGAGUCACACGCACACCAACAGGGAUACACUCAUUCCACAAGAGGCACUGCCUUCGCCUUCAGACCCAGGCGAAGAUACUUGGACAGGCAACAAAGGCAUGAUGGUCAGAGCUGCAGCAGCUAUUUUGCAAUUAUGAGAAAAGCCCCAGGAGAAUCGAAGAGAACCAAAAACCUCAAGGCACUGGAGCAGUGACAGUGACUGCCUAAUUCUUCAUUACUUGUUUAUUGAAAGUAAUGAAGGUUUUCUACAACUCAUGGCUAAAAGCAAUCUUUAAUUGAUUCAUCCGACGGUGUAAAAAUAAUAAUGUAACUCAUACAAAGUGGAAAGUCUGGGGAGAAGAGAUGGG